UACGGAGGGGACUAGCGUUGUUCGGAAUUACUGGGCGUAAAGGGCGCGUAGGCGGCCUGCUAAGUCGAACGUGAAAUCCCCGGGCUCAACCCGGGAACUGCGUCCGAUACUGGUUGGCUUGAAUUCGGGAGAGGGAUGUGGAAUUCCAGGUGUAGCGGUGAAAUGCGUAGAUAUCUGGAGGAACACCGGUGGCGAAGGCGGCAUCCUGGACCGGUAUUGACGCUGAGGCGCGAAAGCCAGGGGAGCAAACGGG
rnacentral:rRNA from 1 species